rnacentral:rRNA from 1 species
CAGCCGCCGCGGUAAUACGAAGGGGGCUAGCGUUGUCCGGAAUUACUGGGCGUAAAGCGCGCGCAGGUGGUUUAAUAAGUCUGAUGUGAAAGCCCACGGCCCAACCGUGGAGGGUCAUUGGAAACUGUUAAACUUGAGUGCAGGAGAGAAAAGUGGAAUUCCUAGUGUAGCGGUGAAAUGCGUAGAGAUUAGGAGGAACACCAGUGGCGAAGGCGGCUUUUUGGCCUGUAACUGACACUGAGGCGCGAAAGCGUGGGGAGCAAACAGGAUUAGAGACCCCCGUAGUCCCUGUCUCUUAUAC